GUGGUGAAGCCCUCUAUUGUCCUGACCCCACAGUUCCUGUCCCAUGACCAGGGCCAGCUCACCAAGGAGCUGCAGUAGCACAUAAAGUCAGUGCCAUCCCUCAUGCGAGUACCUGAGGAAGCCAAGACUGACUGUGAGAAACCCUGGGAGCUCAGGAAGGAAGGAGCCGCUCAGAAGCAGGGAUGGGAGCUGGUGGGAAAGACCAGAAGUCAGGUCUGUGAAGGUUCCAGAGAGGACCUGUCCUUGGGAGUCAAGUAGGGGGCCUGAGAUGGGGGAGGGGCAUUGGAGGACACAGGUGCUCUGUGGAAUGUCCACUGUGAGGUACCGCAUUCCGGGGCUAGGGAUUGGUGGAGAGGGAGUUUAAAGCCCCGGGGUUGCUUAGGCAGUGCCCAGACAGGAGAAGGUUUGGUGGAAACCAGAGCCCUGGUCUCCAUCUAAUUGCUCCUGAGCGUCCUGCUUUCUUGCCCUGCAUAUCCUGUUGCUUCCCUGAUAGACUUUCUCCCUGACUUGUAGCUGAACCUCCUCCCACUCUCGCUUGAAGACUUAGUUUAAACCGGAUCCUUUCUCAGUCUGCUUUCUCCUCCCCCCCCCCACCGGGUGCCCAACAGACCCCUUCCCCUCCCUCUCCUUCCCUCCCAUCCCCCUCCCCAACUCAGAUCCCACCCCAUCCCCAUCCCCUUCCUUCCCCCAGCCCUAAGCCACUGUUAUCUCUGUCCUGGUCACCUCACGGCACCCUGAGAAGACCAGGAGAUGCGAGUGCAGUGGCUACUCUUUUGGCUCCUCCUGCUGGAGUUUCCCAGCCAUCAAUCCACCCUUGCGAUCAGGUUUCUACUUGAUUAUUUGUAUCCUGGGCAUGACCUUCUUGGUGUUCUGUGGAUGCCUAUCCCUAUUGUGUUUCUGGGAGUUUCCACAGUUGGCCUUUUCCUCCGAAAAAUUAUCUUCUGUGUGAGUAUACUAACUUACUGUAGAGGUAUACUUGUAAUCACAAAGAAGA
rnacentral:lncRNA from 1 species